rnacentral:lncRNA from 1 species
AUAUGAGCUAUAAUAUUGAUCAACUUGUUUAAUCCAAUUAAAAUAUUGUAUAUUUACUAAUUUUAUCUUGUAUAAUGAAAAUAUUAUGGAACCGUUUGAGACAAAUUUGAAUUAUACAUAGAUGAUUUUCUUAGCCAUGAUGGUAUCUUUCCUUGAGAAAAAUAAAAUAUAACCACAACUACAUAUACAUGUGUAUAUAUAUACGCAUUUUAUAUAAGUGAUUUUAGAAGUUAUGUUUUAUAUAUAUUUAACUUGAUUAUUAUUUUUAUAAUCAUCAAUUAGAAUAAAUUACAACAGGAUUGGAAAUCUAUAUUGAUUGUCAA